rnacentral:rRNA from 1 species
UUCCGGUUGAUCCCGCCGGAGGCCAUUGCUGUCGGAGUCCGAUUUAGCCAUGCUAGUCGUGCGAGUUUAGACUCGCGGCACCGAGCUCAGUAACACGUGGCCAAACUACCCUGUAGAGACGUAUAACCUCGGGAAACUGAGGCUAAUCCGUCAUACCGGUUGAACGGUUGAAACCCAUCAACCUCUAAACGCCCCGGCGCUACAGGAUGUGGCUGCGGCCGAUUAGGUUGACGGUGGGGUAACGGCCCACCGUGCCAAUAAUCGGAACAGGUUGUGAGAGCAAGAACCUGGAGACGGCAUCUGAGACAAGAUGCCGGGCCCUACGGGGCGCAGCAGGCGCGAAACCUUUACACUGCACGCACGUGCGAUAAGGGGACUCCGAGUGCGAGGGCAUAUCGUCCUCGCUUUUGUGUACCGUAGGGUGGUACACGAACAAGGGCUGGGCAAGACCGGUGCCAGCCGCCGCGGUAAUACCGGCAGCCCGAGUGAUGGCCGAUCUUAUUGGGCCUAAAGCGUCCGUAGCUGGGUCUGAAAGUCCAUCGGGAAAUCCACUCGCUCAACGAGUGGUCGUCCGGUGGAAACUCCACACCUUGGGACCGGAAGGCUCGAAGGGUACGGCCGGGGUAGGAGUGAAAUCCUGUAAUCCCGUCCGGACCACCGAUGGCGAAAGCACUUCGAGAGAACGGAUCCGACAGUGAGGGACGAAAGCUAAGAUCGCGAACCGGAUUAGAUACCCGGGUAGUCUUAGCCGUAAACAAUGUUCGUUAGGUAUGACACAG